GUCGGUCUUCGGUAGUGGCUUUUCGGCCGGUGGCAUACCGCCGGAGGGCUUCGAUCGAUGACCGCC
rfam:Nocardia cyriacigeorgica GTH-2 chromosome complete genome